rnacentral:tRNA from 1 species
GGCCCAUUCGUCUAGUGGUCUAGGACACCGCCCUCUCACGGCGGCGGCACGGGUUCGAAUCCCGUAUGGGCCU